AGUGUUCCAAAAUGUUGCCUUGUUCUCAGUGGCUUCCAAUCUGGUGCUCUUUCGUGUCAGUUAGAUUAAGGCAAGACAGAGACCAGUCCUUCAGGCAGCCACCCCUUCCCCGCUGCCACCCAAAGUCUAAAUGUUAGACAUAUGUUUCAAUCUUUUCUUUCUCUCACUAGGGAGAAGCUAAGAUCUGGGAAUUUUCUCCUGAUUGUGCCACGUUGAGUAGGGGGAGGAAUUAUGAUUCUUUUCCAUUGUAGGUUAUUAUAAGAAAAUGAAGUUAGUUCCCUGUGCUAUACAUAUUUAUAAAGCCAAGAACCCUGUAAAAGUUUGCUUUUGUGAGCACACAUGGGGAUACAUAUUUUGAUGAGGAAAUUGAGGCUCAACAAAGGUAAAUCAUUGGCUGAAGAUGAAAAGAAAAGAAUUAUGUUUUUCUGAUGCCAUCAUGCUUCCAGAACAAAUUCCAUUUUCCUCUCUGGAGAAGAGGCUACUUCAUAUAAAGCUAAUCCAAGAAGGUGACAAGACUCGAUACUUAAUUAAAAAAUGGAUUCGACCAAGAAGAAACUUAAACUGUUCUGUGCAUCUCUUAUUUAUUCAAAAAUGAAGGCUUCCCUUUCAAUCCAAUUGCUUGGUAUUUGGAAUUGAAGGAGCCAUGAGAAAUUUCAGUGAAGCAGACUGGUUUUUUUGUUUGUUUGUUUUGCGGUACGCGGGCCUCUCACUGUUGUGGCCUCUCCCGUUGCGGAGCACAGGCUCCGGAUGCGCAGGCUCAGCGGCCAUGGCUCACGGGCCCAGCCGCUCCGCGGCACGUGGGAUCUUCCUGGACCGGGGCACGAACCCGUGUCCCCUGCAUUGGCAGGCGGACUCUCAACCACUGCACCACCAGGGAAGCCCAAGCAGACUGAUUUUGACUAAAUAAUAAAAAUGAUUUUGUUGAAAGAAUAUCAGCGUAUGCUCUGGCAUUGGACCCAUCAUUUUAAAACAACCUCAUAUUGAUAUCUAUUUUUAUUUUUUUAAUUAAAGAAAUUAAUUGAAGUAUAGUUGAUUUACAAUGUGUUAGUUUCAGGUGUAUAGCAAAGUGAUUCAGUUAUACACAUAUAUGUAUCUAUUCUUUUUCAGAUUCUUUUCCCUUAUAGGUUAAUUCAAAAUAUUGAGUAUAGUUCCCUGUGCUAUACAGUAGGUUCUUUUUGGUUAUCUAUUUUAUAUACAGUAGUGUGUAUAUGCUAAUGCCAAACUCCUCAUUUAUCUCUCCCCCAUAUCUAUUUUUAGAGGGACAUGUUUUUGGUAUGUUCUUGGAUUAUAACAAAAUUGUUCACAUGAUUAGAAGUUACAUAGAUAUGUUGAUUAAACCAGGUGGAUUCUAAGCUUCCCUGAACUGUUACUGGCUAAGUUUUACAUUUUUUGAUAAUGUGUUGCCAUUUUCUUCUUGACAUGGUUCUAACACUGUUUUAUUUCCUAGCUUUGACUCAUUUUGUUGUCAGAGCCUGGGAACAUAGAGAGGAAAGCAAAGGAGUUAAUGCAUUAUAAGCUGUGAGUUUAUUCAUACACUGCCUGACUCACCCUCCAACUAUUCCUCUCCCAAGAGGGAUUUAUUGCUAUUACAGUCAGUACUAAAACAAGUUGGGGUUUCAGAUGCUUUGGUAUCCACAUAUCUAAAUUAUAGUAGUUACUUUGCUUCUAGCUUUCUCUAAUGUUAUUUGGUUUUGAGAGCUAAUGGUAUUUCUGUUUUAUUCAACAGUAAACAUCAGUUUCACUAAAUCGUUAGGGUUGUGUCCUAGAGUUAUAAAAGUAUUGAUUUUUAUGUAAACCAGCAGAAAAUGCUAACAGAUCAUAUAAAAUGUUUGAUAGUUUAUUGGGGCUUUUCUGAUAGCCACUUUACUUUUGGCAGGCAGCAUAAAGAUUGGAGA